GUGCUCGCUUCAGCAGCACAUAUACUAAAAUUGGAACGAUACAGAGAAGAUUAACAUGGCCCCUGUGCAAGGAUGACACGCAAACUCAUGAAGCGUUCCAUACUUAA
rnacentral:snRNA from 1 species